rnacentral:rRNA from 1 species
GUGAGGAAUAUUGGUCAAUGGUCGCAAGACUGAACCAGCCAUGCCGCGUGCAGGAAGACGGUCCUAUGGAUUGUAAACUGCUUUUAUACAGGAAGAAACCCUCCCACGUGUGGGAGCUUGACGGUACUGUAGGAAUAAGGAUCGGCUAACUCCGUGCCAGCAGCCGCGGUAAUACGGAGGAUCCAAGCGUUAUCCGGAAUCAUUGGGUUUAAAGGGUCUGUAGGCGGUCUUAUAAGUCAGUGGUGAAAGCCCAUCGCUCAACGAUGGAACUGCCAUUGAUACUGUAAGACUUGAAUGCUUAGGAAGUAACUAGAAUAUGUAGUGUAGCGGUGAAAUGCUUAGAUAUUACAUGGAAUACCAAUUGCGAAGGCAGGUUACUACUAAGUGAUUGACGCUGAUGGACGAAAGCGUGGGGAGCGAACAGGAUUAGAUACCCUAGUAGUCC